GUGGUUUUACACUAUAUAUAUUUUGUCUGUUUUAAAGGUGUAAAGAAAGAAAGUAGUCAAGUUGAAACACUUAAAAGUUAAGUGAUUUUGUAUUUCUCAUGGGUUUUUUGCCUGUAGAAAUAUGCACUUUUAUAAAAUAACACGCGCUCCACUGUUUUUUUUUGUUUGCAAAACUAGACUAAAACUAAAACAAUUCAGAUUAAAAUACGACUAGAACUAAAAUGGCCUUUUAGUCAAAAGAUUAUGACUAAAACUAAACUGAAAUUUUCCGCCCAAAUUAACACUGGUCCAUAGCAGUUUGUUUUUGUUUUUUUUUUACUGUAAAGUACAGUAAUCAAUUGGACUGUUUAUCAUUACCCUUACUACUAACUAACAUACCUAAGAUAAGCUCUAAUCCUGAUUGUCAAUCAACUUUGCCAAUAUACG